GCGUGAGUGAAGAAGGCCUUAGGGUUGUAAAGCUCUUUCAACGGUGAAGAUAAUGACGGUAGCCGUAGAAGAAGCCCCGGCUAACUUCGUGCCAGCAGCCGCGGUAAUACGAAGGGGGCUAGCGUUGUUCGGAAUUACUGGGCGUAAAGCGCACGUAGGCGGAUCGUUAAGUCAGGGGUGAAAUCCCGGGGCUCAACCCCGGAACUGCCCUUGAUACUGGCGGUCUCGAGUUCGAGAGAGGUGAGUGGAAUUCCGAGUGUAGAGGUGAAAUUCGU
rnacentral:rRNA from 1 species